UACGGAGGAUGCGAGCGUUAUCCGGAUUUAUUGGGUUUAAAGGGUGCGUAGGCGGAUCGUUAAGUCAGUGGUCAAAUUGAGGGGCUCAACCCCUUCCCGCCAUUGAAACUGGCGAUCUUGAGCGGAAGAGAAGUAUGCGGAAUGCGUGGUGUAGCGGUGAAAUGCAUAGAUAUCACGCAGAACCCCGAUUGCGAAGGCAGCAUGCCGGCUUCCGACUGACGCUGAAGCACGAAAGCGUGGGGAUCGAACAGG
rnacentral:rRNA from 1 species